CGGGGCCCGCUCGGGGCCGGGGCGCCUGCGGGGCCGGUGCUGCCGCCUGCGGGCGCCCGGGGAAGCGCAGCCGCCGGACGCCGGGGCUCCGGGCGGAAAGGGUCGGGACGCGCGAGGGCGCACACCACACCCAGCCCCGGGCCGGCCCUUUCCUCCUUCCUGGGGGGAAAGCCGGACGAACCCGAGGCCGGAAGGGGUGACUCUGCAGGAAGCACCCAUGCAACCACCGCAUCGGAGAGGGCCGGGCACUUUAUUCGAGGUCCCGCAGCUACUCACAGGCAGGACAGGGACUGGGGUCACCCAGGAGGUAUCUUCAGAUGCUGCCCUGCUGCCGGCCGGCCGGCUGUGUGAUCCCAGGGUUGACCGAUCUGGAUUCCUAGAAACUAACUUCAGAAGAUACACACUGUGACCGUUAGUCAUCCCAGUUCCAGCAGAUUUGCUGACCUUCAACCAUAGAACCAGGAUGACGUAGAACCGGGAUGAUGACGGAGACCAGGAAGAUGCAAACCAUCGCUUGGCCAUUUUCGAGAUCCUUGAAGGAAUGGAGUGUGCUGGCCUGCACCCCCCUCCCUUGACUUCUUUGUUCUGCUUUCCCUCUCCCUCCUCACAAAACCUCUGCGUGCUCUGAGAUCUCGAGAUGGGCUUUGUGACAAGAGCCCCCCAUCCUCUCCAGGUGCCGGCACUUGAA